AGGUGGACUCCCCUGAUGGCCAGCUGAGAGGAGGAGGUUGGACUGAGGCUCUGUUCUCACCAAGAGGAGGCCAGAGGUAGACAGAAGGACAAGGAUGCCGCCCCCUCAGCAGAGGCUGGUAUAAUAUUUGUCAACCGCAGGCACUGAGGGGCUUGACAUGCCUGCUAUGAGGUGAGGGGUGAUCGGAGAAGAAGCCCAGGGGGCAGAACAGCCUCUUUCCAGAGCAGCUCUUGCAAGGCAGCAGAUCCUGGCCAGAGAUGAGAGGACUCUGGCUCCAUGUUUGUGUCAUGCUACACAGAGGGAAGCAAAACACUGAGAACCUGAGACCGUGAAUAGUGAGAAGGAGGUCUCUGCUGCCACCUCCACCCUCCUUUCUGAGCAAGCUCCCAAGAUACCUGUCCUGAGGUGAUGCCACAUAAGUCUCUGGUACCCACAGUCUUCUUGUUCCAGCAACCCUUUCUGUGUCUGACUCUCUCAGGGUCUCAUGUAUUCCAGGUUGGUCUCAAAGCCCAUAGCCUUUGAAGAUAACCUUUGAGUCUCUGAUCCUCCUGCUUCGACUCUCUGAGUGUUCACACAGUGCUGGGCACAAAACCCAAAGAUUUGUGCCCACCAGGGAGACACUCUACCAGUGAAGCUACGUCUCCUGCCGCAGAUUUAUUAUAUUUGAAAAACUUUCCAUGACAGUAAAAUUUAUAAUCAUAUAGACCUAAUGUCCCAUUUGAUGAACUCUGACAAAUGUAUAUAUACCCUGUAACUGACACACCAGCUCGGAUGUCAAAUAUUUCCAUUACCCAAGGAGACUACCCUGUCCCUGUGCCCUACCCAUGACCUUUAAAGGAGACCCAAGAUGAAAAAAAAAACAUACUUUCCCACCACACAUGCCCCUAGAAGAUUCCAGAAGAGUGGAACCCCAGUGUGCUAGUCAACAAUCUCCAAGCUUCCACUACCCCACCCCAUAGCUAGCUUCAUUUUCAGCACAGAAAAGAGACUUUAACAGGGUGCGCACUCACAGGGGUAACUGCAAUUGAGCUAACCUGAGAGUCAGCACCUCCUUUCCCUGUGUACCCUGGAACCCCCCACUAUAUAGUAGACCAGAUGUGAUUUCCAGGCUUGGCCCUGUGAAAGAAGGGGAGGCUUUCAAAUCACUGUCCUGGUGCACCCUGGACAGCAGUUCUGGCUGGGACUCUGCCUUUUCUUGGCAGCACAUGGCCCUUGGUGCGUCCCCAUGCUACCUGGUAAGCUCUCAUGCCCUGAACACCUGCUAAGCGCCCGUCAUCCCGGGUUCUCAGCACAGCCUGAUCCACGUUCUCAUCCCCCACUGCACCUAGAAAACUGAGCCUUCGCAAGGCAGAUGUAUACUCAAGGUCACAGGGAGUGUGGAACGAACGGAAAGGUAAAUUCAGGAACGUGGUUCUCCUCUGCCUCCUCAGCUGCCUCAUACACGGUGGACAGGUGAACUUGGAACCCUGAAAAGGAUCCCUGCUUCUCCUACUCUGAUCUCCCCCCAACACACACACACGCCCCGCCCACCCCAGAUCGGAGGGAGGAGUUUCUUCCCUCCGCAAACACUGCCCUUUCCCGGAGCCUCUCUCCCCUUACACCAGCCAGGCUCCAGGCUAUGACAGCGCUUCCCAGGAGCAGCCGGGGCUCCUUUGCAUACUACGGCUCAUUUGCAUACUACUUAGGAAAAGCCUUCACUUUUCCCACCUGCAGCACACUCUGGGCUGAUUACUUCUCCCCACAUCGGAGAGUUAAUUACUCUCCCGCGUCGACCGGGUGUUUAUUUGCAAUCAGCAGAGGGCUGGGAAGAGGGGGGCGGGGGAAGGGGGGGGACACCGGCAGAAGCAACUGCCAUUAGUCCAAAUUUCAGAGCGCAAGUGAGAGUGAGCUCCUGCAUCAUAAGGACGAUGUCAAACCCAGCCUCCGCCCAGCAUGCCCAUUCACCCGGGGCACGUCCCCAGCUCUGGGGAAAGGAACUGGUUGAUUAGACCUGAGGUCAGGGGGACUGUCGAACAAAGACCCACGGGGAGCUGCUGGCAGGACAGACAAGCAACCAGCAGCCCAAUUACACAGUGGCCAAGGCGCAGGGACACCUCCCAGCUGGCUCCCUCAGCUGCCUGGCUUUUCUCUAAGCCUUUUCUCCUAAUCCUCCUGAUCUCUUUACAACUCACCUGCCCGCAGCCCAGCUGGGUGACUUCUAACUGGGAUUUCUCCAAGAGGCUUACCUGGCCCUUCCUGGACUUGGCCCAGAGCGCCUUCCACCAUCCGGGAUGCUCCCUCCAGCUGGGGCAAAGGAGGGGACGGAGUUUUAUUUCUUCCUGUAUUUCUCCGGUCUUCCCUAAAGAAAAACAAAACAAAAUAAAACUUUUGUCUUUU